rnacentral:rRNA from 1 species
UUGAUCCUGGCUCAGGACGAACGCUGGCGGCACGCUUAACACAUGCAAGUCGAACGAGAGAAGAGAAGCUUGCUUUUCUGAUCUAGUGGCGGACGGGUGAGUAACACGUGAGCAAUCUGCCUUUCAGAGGGGGAUACCGAUUGGAAACGAUCGUUAAUACCGCAUAACAUAAUUGAACCGCAUGAUUUGAUUAUCAAAGAUUUAUCGCUGAAAGAUGAGCUCGCGUCUGAUUAGCUAGUUGGUAAGGUAACGGCUUACCAAGGCGACGAUCAGUAGCCGGACUGAGAGGUUGAUCGGCCACAUUGGGACUGAGACACGGCCCAGACUCCUACGGGAGGCAGCAGUGGGGAAUAUUGCACAAUGGAGGAAACUCUGAUGCAGCGAUGCCGCGUGAGGGAAGAAGGUUUUAGGAUUGUAAACCUCUGUCUUCAGGGACGAAAAAAGACGGUACCUGAGGAGGAAGCUCCGGCUAACUACGUGCCAGCAGCCGCGGUAAUACGUAGGGAGCGAGCGUUGUCCGGAAUUACUGGGUGUAAAGGGAGCGUAGGCGGGAUCGCAAGUCAGAUGUGAAAACUAUGGGCUUAACCCAUAAACUGCAUUUGAAACUGUGGUUCUUGAGUGAAGUAGAGGUAAGCGGAAUUCCUAGUGUAGCGGUGAAAUGCGUAGAUAUUAGGAGGAACAUCAGUGGCGAAGGCGGCUUACUGGGCUUUAACUGACGCUGAGGCUCGAAAGCGUGGGGAGCAAACAGGAUUAGAUACCCUGGUAGUCCACGCCGUAAACGAUGAUUACUAGGUGUGGGGGGACUGACCCCUUCCGUGCCGCAGCAAACGCAAUAAGUAAUCCACCUGGGGAGUACGACCGCAAGGUUGAAACUCAAAGGAAUUGACGGGGGCCCGCACAAGCAGUGGAGUAUGUGGAUUAAUUCGAAGCAACGCGAAGAACCUUACCAGGUCUUGACAUCGUAUGCAUAGCUCAGAGAUGAGUGAAAUCUCUUCGGAGACAUAUAGACAGGUGGUGCAUGGUUGUCGUCAGCUCGUGUCGUGAGAUGUUGGGUUAAGUCCCGCAACGAGCGCAACCCUUACUGUUAGUUGCUACGCAAGAGCACUCUAGCAGGACUGCCGUUGACAAAACGGAGGAAGGUGGGGAUGACGUCAAAUCAUCAUGCCCUUUAUGACCUGGGCCUCACACGUACUACAAUGGCUGUCAACAGAGGGAAGCAAAGCCGCGAGGUGGAGCAAACCCCUAAAAGCAGUCUUAGUUCGGAUUGUAGGCUGCAACCCGCCUACAUGAAGUCGGAAUUGCUAGUAAUCGCAGAUCAGCAUGCUGCGGUGAAUACGUUCCCGGGCCU